UGGGAUAAGAUCCAGCGCCCCCGGGACCCUAAACACCAUAAGCAAAUAUGGAAAAUGGAAACAGGCUACGUAAAUAUAAAAUCUUAUGUACACUGCAUGGUUUAAUAGUGAGUUUCAGCUCCUCACACAAACCGGCGGAUGGAACAGUUGUCUAGUAAAAGAAAGCUGUUGAAUUUCUAAAAAUUGCUGAAAUCAGUCUCGAUAUGUUGUACACUGGCUUCGAACAUCGAGGAGACAAUCAUCUCAAGAAGUUAAAGAAGAAUACAUUGAGGAAAAAAAGGAGUAAAUUCAUGCAGCAAAUAUUGCAAGACUCUUGCUGACUAAAGAACGCACUUCGCUGUUUUAAUGUUGUAGAAUAAAAAGAAAAUCAUAUUAUUCCAAAUAUUCUUCGAGCUAUUGAGUGUAUUUAGCUGUUUAGAAUUGCUAUACGCUGUCCGGGGUAACGUUUCAGUUGUACUAUUUGGCAAUUUUGACCUCCUUCGCUUGCCGUUCGCUGUGCUGACUACUUUAAUGACACUGAGAAAAAUGGGACAUUGCAGUGCCGCCGCGAAUGGACUGCUCCACUUUGAAUCGCUUACGAAGUUAAUUCGAAGGCUCCAUGGCGCGCUGGCUCAAGCUAAGUGCAGCCGCGCUUCUGGCUGUGGCAUUUUCGACAUUGUGCCACUUCCGCCACUCGCUCAUUCUCAACAGCAGACUCGCUGGAAAUGGCGGGCCGCCGAAGCCGAAGCUAAGGCGCACGCUCCGUCACAGACUCGAGCCAGCGGACAAUGCCGCGGAGGCCCGACCGCCGCGCUGCGUCAUGCCGCCGGAGAGACGCUUCGACUGUGGCCGGGACCGAGCGCUCGGUCGGCGGGAGUGUGAGCGGAGGGCUUGCUGUUACGCUCCCCUCGACGACUCCUCAGCGGCUCCGUGGUGCUUCUACCCUCACUCGUACCCCGGCUACCAAAUGGGCGUCCUGACGCCCACCCUGCGCGGUCGGGCGGCCACCUUGACCCGCGCCUCGGCCUCCUACCUGCCGCGAGAUGUCGCCGUUCUGCACCUGGAAGAAACUCGCCAGUCGGCGGGCUGCUUGCGCCUCACAUUGAAGGAUCCAUGGUCCGAGCGCUAUGAAGUUGAGCUCCCUGGUGGAGUUCCUCAGGGCAAAGGCAGCAGCCAAGAUGCCCUCUAUACCAUUGCGUACGAGUCCAACCCGUUUGGAUUCAUCGUGAGGCGCGCAUCCAAUGGAAGGGUCAUCAUGAACAGCACAGUGGCUCCUCUCUUGUUUGCUGAGCAGUAUCUGCAGCUGUCCACCACUCUGGCAUCCUCGCUGGUGUCCGGCCUGGGGGAGCAUUACACGUCCCUCCUCUUGGACCUCAACUGGACCUCCUUGACCCUCUGGAACAGGGACAUGGCUCCUCAUGCCGGUGCAAAUCUCUACGGCUCGCACCCGUUCUAUGUGGUACAGGAGGAGGAUGGACUCGCACACGGAGUGUUCCUUCUCAACAGCAAUGCCAUUGAGGUGGUCUUGCAGCCUCUGCCAGCUCUCACGUGGGUGUCCACCGGCGGAAUCCUCGACCUGUACGUCUUCAUGGGUCCCGAUGCUCAGACCGUUAUUCGGCAGUACCUGCGAGUUAUCGGAUAUCCCAUGAUGCCUCCCUAUUGGUCACUGGGCUUCCACCUGUGUCGCUGGGGCUACAAAAGCACGAAUGCCACGCGGCAGGUGGCUCAGCGGAUGCACGAUGCCAACUUCCCCAUGGAUGUGCAGUGGAACGACCUGGACUACGCGAGCCAAGGCAGAGUCUUCACCAAGGACCCGUUGCGAUUCGGGGACCUGAAGGAGAUGGUGGACGAAUUCCACCAGAGAGGCAUCAAGUACGUCCUCAUCCUGGACCCCGGGAUCAGCGCUACUAGUCCUCCCGGAACUUACCAACCCUUCGACGAUGGACUCAAACGAGACGUGUUCAUCCAAAACGCCACGGGUCACCUCCUCUUAGGCAAGGUUUGGCCUGGUUUUACGGCCUUCCCUGACUUCACCAACCCAGAGACCAGACAGUGGUGGCAAGACUGUAUUGUGGAUUUUUACUCUGAAGUGCCCCUGGAUGGAUUAUGGAUUGACAUGAACGAACCAACCAGUUUUGUGUCGGGCUCAACGGAGGGUUGCCCUGAGACCGAGCUCGAGAACCCGCCGUACACACCCAUCCAAACAGGGGUGCUCGGAGGCCGCCUGAGCUCGUGGACUCUUUGUAUGUCGGCUCGGCAGAAGCGCUCCGCUCACUACGACCUGCACAACGUGUACGGACUCACUCAAGCGUUCGCCACUCACAGCGCGCUUGUGAAAGCGCGAGGGAAGAGGCCGUUUGUCCUGUCGCGCUCGUCCUUCCCGAGCAUCGGACGCUUUUCCGGAGUGUGGACCGGAGAUGUUCGGAGCGACUGGGAACAACUUGCCUACUCCAUCCCUUCGGUGCUGCGGUUCGGCCUCUUCGGGGUCCCCCUGGCGGGGGCGGACGUCUGCGGCUUCGGAGGCGACGCCAGCGAGGAGCUGUGCGUGCGCUGGAUGCAACUCGGGGCCUUCUACCCGUUCAUGAGGAACCAUAACGACCGGCCGAACGCCCCUCAGGAGCCUUACGUCUUCGGGCAGAAGGCCCAGGCGGCCAUGCGGGGCGCGCUGAGGCUUCGUUACUCCCUGCUCCCGUUUCUCUACACGCUCUUCCAUCACGCACACGCCUCCGGAGACACCGUGGCCAGGCCGCUCUUCAUGGAGUUUCCCGCCGACCCUCGCUGUCGGGUCAUAGACAGGCAGUUCCUCUGGGGGAGUUCUGUCCUCGUCAGUCCGGUUUUGGAGGCGGGCGCGACGGAGGUGUCCGCUUACCUGCCGCCCGGCACUUGGUACAACCUGCGCAGUGUGAGCCGCGCGACUUCGAUUCAUCGAUUUAUCGGCUCGCGUCGUCACGUGGACCAAAACGAUCGAUCCGUUGCUCUUCGUCAGGGUCGGCCGACGUACAGCGAAGGCGAGGACGUGCUUCUGUCGGCCCCUCUGGACACCGUCAACAUCCACGUGAGGGAGGGACACAUUAUCCCCCGGCAGGAGCCCGCUUUAACGAGCGCGGUCUCGCGCACAAACGCCUUCUUCCUGACGGUGGCGCUCUCAGCGGACGGCACGGCCCGGGGCGACUUGUUCUGGGACGACGGCGACAGCGUCGACACUUUCCAAACGGGAAAUUACUCCUACGUCCUCUUCACUGCUGGACAGACACCAGGCGGGGCUGAAAAGCGACCAGAUGGCCACGAAGAAAGCGCAAAUCUCCCGCAUCGCUCAAGCGUUUGUUGUUUACCAGCGGUGCCGUCAGAGGAACUUCUGCGUCUCGCCACCCAGAAGUACGAGCGCUGUUUUUCUUUGGAGCUUUUAAUACCUCGCCGCUUCAGUCGCAGGUGGCGAGUGAGCCCAUCCGGCUGAACGGAGCCCUGGACGGUCUCGUGCUGGGGGGGACGCGGGUGUUCGGCGUGCCCUGGCCGCCCCGAUACGUGGCGGCCAACGGGGAGGAAGUGAAGGAUUUCACGUAUAACGCCGACACGAAGGUUUUAAAAGUGAGCAGUCUGGCCUUGCCCAUGUCCAAGAUGUUUACAGUCCAGUGGGCACUGACAAGCGCCGCUCCCUGUUACCCAUGAUGCCAGUGGAGACGUUUUUUUUUUUGGGGAUAUACGGGUAUCGUCACAGCAGCUUGGAUGUGAACGUCUCAUUUCUUUGUUGUCACAGCUCGACUGGAUCUUAAGUUUUGCCCAUUUUAUGUCAAUUAUGUACAUUGUUCAAAGUAUUUUGAAAUUAAAAGAUAGAUAUACACUGUAA